CGCUGGAGACCUUUCUGCUUCCCUCAGGAUUGAAAAAAUAAUAGAUUCCGUCACAGUCUCACAUUGGGUUGAGGAGCAUGCUCGCAGGUUCACGAGGGACAGUGUCUGCACAAGAAAGGGAGCAAGUGUCUCUGGCUCAUAUGCUAUCGCUGCACACAUAAAACAGGCCAUUAAGCAAGUUAGCGAUCAUUAAUGAACAUACUCGAGCAAGAUAGAUAUUUAUGCAAGUUGACGCGACACGUCAUUCAUUAAAAUAUUUGCUCAGAACACUGUCAAAUAAACAGCUGCACAUACAGCAACUCUGUUGUUGAGAACCUGCAUUGGUCUUAUAACAGUUAUGAUAAUGUAGAUCUAGAUCUGCAAGCGUUUCAGUAAAGAAUGACACGAGUCUUUUACACGUUCUGAUGUCAACUCAUGCAGUGAUACAGUAAAUAUGUGUGAAUAAUUUGGUGAAAAAAAUCAUAUUGUGGGUAUUAUGUUUCAAUUUAGGGUUGUGAUAAAAUACUAAUAAGUUUAGUAGUUUUAUUUACAGGCUACGAUUCAGAGAAUAAAAAAAAAUAGAAGAAUACCACAUUUGAACAAAACAAAAAUAUUAUUUAUUUACCUGUACUGUCUGUUUUUUUUUUAACUUCCAACUCCCACUGUCUGUUGCCGCCAGGCAAAUUAAAGCGAUGCACGCGCUGUUUGGCAGCGUGUUUCAUUGGUGGAUCUAUGUGUCACCCAAGUAGCCUGGUGGUGAUUGGUUGGCGGACCGCUAAUGUCACGGAAGCAGGUGUGGGAGUGUAGCGCCUUAGCCCAGUAAUGCUGGUAGCCUUUCUUAAUAGAGCCGAAACGUAGGCCCAGCGUUUCAGCGGUAAGGAUGUGGACGGUGACAGUUAAUUGGAGAAGCGGGCCAAUUGGAGCCUACACUAUGUGUGUGAGAUGAAAGAGUUGGUGGUAACUGACCUGGAGACUGUGCUUCCAGGACACUGGUAUCUUCCCCCUUCAAGCUACAUCAAGGUAGGGAACAGUUGGAGCACUGACCAGGGCUCUACAUCAAGGCUCCAUGAUAUGUCUCAUCCACAUGUGACAAGACUGGAUGCUAUUAAUCACAGUGUCUUCUUUUUAAUAAAAAUGCUAAUUUAUACUGUCCAAAUGGUGUUACAGCGUUUGGCCAUUAAUAAAUAAUGAACCUCUUUUUGGAUAUCUAAUGGAUUAUAAAAAAAACACACACAAC
rnacentral:lncRNA from 1 species